rnacentral:rRNA from 1 species
UGGGGAAUUUUGGACAAUGGGGGCAACCCUGAUCCAGCCAUUCCGCGUGAGUGAAGAAGGCCUUCGGGUUGUAAAGCUCUUUCGGCAGGAACGAAACGGCGAGCUCUAACAUAGCUUGCUAAUGACGGUACCUGAAGAAGAAGCACCGGCUAACUACGUGCCAGCAGCCGCGGUAAUACGUAGGGUGCGAGCGUUAAUCGGAAUUACUGGGCGUAAAGCGUGCGCAGGCGGUUGUGUAAGACAGGUGUGAAAUCCCCGGGCUUAACCUGGGAACUGCGCUUGUGACUGCACGGCUAGAGUAUGGCAGAGGGGGGUGGAAUUCCACGUGUAGCAGUGAAAUGCGUAGAGAUGUGGAGGAACACCGAUGGCGAAGGCAGCCCCCUGGGCCAAUACUGACGCUCAUGCACGAAAGCGUGGGGAGCAAACAGGAUUAGAUACCCUGGUA